rnacentral:lncRNA from 1 species
UUAGGUUCGAACCUAUGAGGUCACACGCAUAGAAGAUUCCUGAUUGAUCAAGAAGGCUGAUGAAUGAUUAAGAAUCAUUCAGGGAUAAUUUAGUCAAUUCGAUUGGCAAAUUAUCUUAUAAAAUAAUUAAAGUAAUUAUCGAAGGAUUAACUAGUAAUUAGAUUGCUAAUGAACUCAAUUGGAUUGAGUAAUUAGACUAAGGAUGAGCCAAAUUGAAUUAGAUUCAAUUCUAGGCUCAAUCAGGGUUUUUGACCUGAUUGGAUUAGGUCUGAAUCAAGAGGACUUAGGUUGACCAAAUUAAAUUAGAUUAAAUUUGUGCUUAAUUA